rnacentral:rRNA from 1 species
AAAUUGAAGAGUUUGAUCAUGGCUCAGAUUGAACGCUGGCGGCAGGCCUAACACAUGCAAGUCGAGCGGUAGCACAGAGAGCUUGCUCUCGGGUGACGAGCGGCGGACGGGUGAGUAAUGUCUGGGAAACUGCCUGAUGGAGGGGGAUAACUACUGGAAACGGUAGCUAAUACCGCAUAACGUCGCAAGACCAAAGUGGGGGACCUUCGGGCCUCAUGCCAUCAGAUGUGCCCAGAUGGGAUUAGCUAGUAGGUGGGGUAAUGGCUCACCUAGGCGACGAUCCCUAGCUGGUCUGAGAGGAUGACCAGCCACACUGGAACUGAGACACGGUCCAGACUCCUACGGGAGGCAGCAGUGGGGAAUAUUGCACAAUGGGCGCAAGCCUGAUGCAGCCAUGCCGCGUGUGUGAAGAAGGCCUUCGGGUUGUAAAGCACUUUCAGCGGGGAGGAAGGCGUUAAGGUUAAUAACCUUGGCGAUUGACGUUACCCGCAGAAGAAGCACCGGCUAACUCCGUGCCAGCAGCCGCGGUAAUACGGAGGGUGCAAGCGUUAAUCGGAAUUACUGGGCGUAAAGCGCACGCAGGCGGUCUGUCAAGUCGGAUGUGAAAUCCCCGGGCUCAACCUGGGAACUGCAUUCGAAACUGGCAGGCUAGAGUCUUGUAGAGGGGGGUAGAAUUCCAGGUGUAGCGGUGAAAUGCGUAGAGAUCUGGAGGAAUACCGGUGGCGAAGGCGGCCCCCUGGACAAAGACUGACGCUCAGGUGCGAAAGCGUGGGGAGCAAACAGGAUUAGAUACCCUGGUAGUCCACGCCGUAAACGAUGUCGAUUUGGAGGUUGUGCCCUUGAGGCGUGGCUUCCGGAGCUAACGCGUUAAAUCGACCGCCUGGGGAGUACGGCCGCAAGGUUAAAACUCAAAUGAAUUGACGGGGGCCCGCACAAGCGGUGGAGCAUGUGGUUUAAUUCGAUGCAACGCGAAGAACCUUACCUGGUCUUGACAUCCACAGAACUUUCCAGAGAUGGAUUGGUGCCUUCGGGAACUGUGAGACAGGUGCUGCAUGGCUGUCGUCAGCUCGUGUUGUGAAAUGUUGGGUUAAGUCCCGCAACGAGCGCAACCCUUAUCCUUUGUUGCCAGCGGUCCGGCCGGGAACUCAAAGGAGACUGCCAGUGAUAAACUGGAGGAAGGUGGGGAUGACGUCAAGUCAUCAUGGCCCUUACGACCAGGGCUACACACGUGCUACAAUGGCAUAUACAAAGAGAAGCGACCUCGCGAGAGCAAGCGGACCUCAUAAAGUAUGUCGUAGUCCGGAUUGGAGUCUGCAACUCGACUCCAUGAAGUCGGAAUCGCUAGUAAUCGUAGAUCAGAAUGCUACGGUGAAUACGUUCCCGGGCCUUGUACACACCGCCCGUCACACCAUGGGAGUGGGUUGUAAAAGAAGUAGGUAGCUUAACCUUCGGGAGGGCGCUUACCACUUUGUGAUUCAUGACUGGGGUGAAGUCGUAACAAGGUAACCGUAGGGGAACCUGCGGUUGGAUCACCUCCUUA